UUCAGUUACUCACUCUUGGGAAGAGAAGGAUUCCAGACCAUUCCUGUGUGCACCCUGGAAGGCAGCCAUCUGAAGGUACUGUGGAAAUUCAGUUACUCACUCUUGGGAAGAGAAGGAUUCCAGACCAUUCCUGUGUGCACCCUGGAAGGCAGCCAUCUGAAGAUUUCAGGGACCACCUGGCAGGGGAGCGGACCAGAGGGACUUCCUUGGAAUAGGCUGUGGCUCUUCACAAGGUGUCUUCUAUGCUUUAUUUGGGAGCCAUUGCCUUGAGCGCUAUUUCCCAGAUGGUUUUCUAAUGUCACCAACUGAAGAAAAGACCCAUGCACACAGGACACAGCAUGAUCUGAUGCUCACAGCAUUUUCCUUCCUCUCUGAAA